AUUUUAGAGAGUUUGAUCCUGGCUCAGGACGAACGCUGGCGGCAUGCCUAACACAUGCAAGUCGAACGGAGUAAGAGAGAAGCUUGCUUA
rfam:Clostridium sp. MSTE9 ctg120006482997, whole genome shotgun sequence.